rnacentral:rRNA from 1 species
UACGAAGGGGGCUAGCGUUGCUCGGAUUGACUGGGCGUAAAGGGCGCGUAGGCGGUUUGCACAGUCAGACGUGAAAUUCCUGGGCUCAACCUGGGGGCUGCGUUUGAUACGUGUAGACUUGAGUGCGGAAGAGGGUCGUGGAAUUCCCAGUGUAGAGGUGAAAUGCGUAGAUAUUGGGAGGAACACCGGUGGCGAAGGCGGCCCCCUGGACCGGUACUGACGCUGAGGCGCGGAAGCGUGGGUAGCAAACAGG